GUUUGGUUUGGAAUUAUCGGAUAAAAUUAAAAAAAUAAACCAUGAGCUCAAAUAAAUGAAGGGUGUUUUGGGGUUUUUUUGAAAGUCAGAUUGGGAACAUAACCAUUCAAACCAAAAAAGAUGGGGACAUAAUCUUGGAUAGUGUACAUUGUACAGGACCCCUAUUUAACUCCCCAUUGAGUCUAAUAAUUCCUUUGAUUGAAAAAAUAAAAAAUAAAAUACAGUAGUGCUUAGUGAACGACACGUAGAUUUUGAAAUUCCAAACUGCCAAUUUUUUUUCCUAAGAGGAAAUUCCUAUUCUACCCUGACCCUUGGGGAAGGGAUGGUCUAUUUAAAACCACCACCUUAUUAUGGCGUGAGUAUAUGAUGUUAGGAAAAACAGUUUGUAGCAAUUACAGUAACUGAUUUAGAAUUAUAAAUAUAGAAACUGUAAAAGAAUCAAGGAAAGCAAAUCGAG